UACGAAGGGGGCUAGCGUUGCUCGGAAUUACUGGGCGUAAAGCGCACGUGGGCGGCUUGUUAAGUCGGAGGUGAAAUCCUGGAGCUCAACUCCAGAACUGCCUUCGAUACUGGCGAGCUUGAGUUCGGGAGAGGUGAGUGGAACUGCGAGUGUAGAGGUGAAAUUCGUAGAUAUUCGCAAGAACACCAGUGGCGAAGGCGGCUCACUGGCCCGAUACUGACGCUGAGGUGCGAAAGCGUGGGGAGCAAACAGG
rnacentral:rRNA from 1 species